UACGUAGGGGGCAAGCGUUGUCCGGAUUUAUUGGGCGUAAAGAGCGUGUAGGCGGUCUUGGCAAGUCCGCUGUGAAACUCGAGGCUCAACCUCGAGACGUCGGUGGAAACUGCCUCGCUAGAGUCCGGAAGAGGAGAGUGGAAUUCCUGGUGUAGCGGUGAAAUGCGCAGAUAUCAGGAAGAACACCCGUGGCUAAGGCGGCUCUCUAGUACGGUACUGACGCUGAGACGCGAAAGCGUGGGGAGCGAACAGG
rnacentral:rRNA from 1 species